rnacentral:rRNA from 1 species
UACGUAGGGUCCGAGCGUUGUCCGGAAUUACUGGGCGUAAAGAGCUCGUAGGCGGCUUGUCACGUCGGGGUGUGAAAGCCCGGGGCUUAACCCCGGGUCUGCAUUCGAUACGGGCAGGCUAGAGUGUGGUAGGGGAGAUCGGAAUUCCUGGUGUAGCGGUGAAAUGCGCAGAUAUCGGGAGGAACACCGGUGGCGAAGGCGGUUCUCUGGGCCUUACCUGACGCUGAGGAGCGAAAGCGUGGGGAGCGAACAGG